UCCAGCUCGCCUGCAGCCCGGACCCCGCCCCGCUCCUCCAGGAUCAGCCCGCAAGCUGCUGGUGACUGCUUGGGCCCCAGCUCCAGGUCUGACCCAGGAGGCCGCUGGUGCGGGAGUGCGGGCUGGACGUCAGGGGAGCAAGCAGGGAUACGUCGGACGGGCUCGCUGGACCUCUGACAGAUGGCAGUGUCCCCGCACCGCAGCAGCCAGGACUCUGGGAAUUCCAGGACACCAGCAAACAUUCUUUCAGUCCUGCCAUGAACAGGAGAAUAAUUGUAAUUGAAAUGUGAGGAAAUGCGGGAAGAAAUUAACUCUCAGAAACUGUCAACUCCGGCAAAAAUAAACAGCACGUCACAGCAAAGGAGAGGAGAGAGGCUCUGCCCCUUCCAGGAAGAGUAAAAGUGACAGGCAGUUAUAAUCAGGUGAGAGGCAGGGAAGGCGAGGAAGGGGGGCUGCCGCCCAGCUGCUGGUGGAAAACCGCGGCAGCAUACAGUCUGCCUUGAGUGCCCAUGAUUGUGGGGCCUAAUUAUAAAGGGACUUGAUUGUCCUAAAUGCAUUCAGUAGGAGCAUAAUUACAAAGUGUGCUGAGAGCUUCGGACACCCAACAUAAAAGCACUGUCUAGUCCUGAAGGACUUUCUUCCCUUUAAUCUACCACCCAUGGAGCCCAGCCAGAACCAAGGUCUGAAAAUGACCCUAAGUCCUGCAGAAUGGACCCUAGGGAUGGAGAAGACUGGGAUUCUGAAGGACACAGAAGAGUGAGUCUGCAGUGGCUCAGCAGUUCCAAGAGAGGCUCCAACCGUCCUUUACAUCCUCCUGUGCCCUUUGCAUGUCUAUAUGAAGAUUGUAACAAAAUAAAAAGGUGUUUAAAUAAUUUUGUUCCUAGUUAUAUUUAGGCAAAUUCAUAAAUAUCUCUGUUCCAAUAGGCUACAGUUAGUCUGAAACUUAUUCUUGUGUGGCUGGAUGUUUAGACCCUGUAUGUAAUACUUUGAUUUGUGAAUAUUGCAUCUCAUCCUGUUGGAAAAGGUCUUCUGAACCUUGGUUCUUCAAUCUAGUUUAAUACUUGUCUUUCCCAGAAUGAGCUCAUCCAAACCAAUGAAUGGACUCGCCUCUGUGGUGGUAGUGACAGUGGUGUAGGUGUGAUUUCCAAGGAAGCACCUCAUUUUCUCCUCCAGUGCUCUUGAGGCCUGUGUGGCCACCCCACUUACAGAAGAUGAAACCAAAGUCCAGAGAAGGAGCCCGAGCUGGACUUUCACAUUCAUACUGUGUUCGGUGGGAGAGUGGACAGCUGAAUGUGAGGCUUCUUAGACUCCACAGAUGUUCCAUUCAUUGUGGUUUAAAAGCUAUGGGAUGGGCAGUGUGUAGGUGCACAGCAUCCUACUGACCGCACAGCCCUGGAGUAGACACUUGACCACUGCCCAGCAAAGUCCCCAAGAGCACGAUGAGCAGGAAGGACAGAGUGGAGGGCAGAAGCUUGUGCCAGACCCUGCUCGGUGGCAGCAUUCUUCAUGUGCAUCGCACAGUCACCCAGUGCUGACACUCGGCUGUGCACAGGACAGCCACUGGCCACAGAGGGUGACUGGGCCUCCAACUGUGGCCUGGUCCCCAGGAAGAUGUGCCAAACUGUGAUACACAGUGGAUGCAGAAAGCUUGCUCAUUGACACCUAUUCAUGUUGUUCAAACAAUGUGUUGGAGAUGCUAAUUUAAAUAAAAUAUAGACGUGUG
rnacentral:lncRNA from 1 species